rnacentral:rRNA from 2 species
UACGAAGGGGGCUAGCGUUGCUCGGAAUUACUGGGCGUAAAGGGAGCGUAGGCGGACAUUUAAGUCAGGGGUGAAAUCCCGAGGCUCAACCUCGGAACUGCCUUUGAUACUGGGUGUCUUGAGUGUGAGAGAGGUGAGUGGAACUCCGAGUGUAGAGGUGAAAUUCGUAGAUAUUCGGAAGAACACCAGUGGCGAAGGCGACUCACUGGCUCAUUACUGACGCUGAGGCUCGAAAGCGUGGGGAGCAAACAGG